rnacentral:lncRNA from 1 species
AUGUUGGGACCCAUGCCAAGCAGGGCCAGAGUUUACACAGAUGUUAACAUGCACAGACCCCGAGAGUACUGGGACUGUGAAUCACAUGUGAUGGAAUGGGGAAAUCAAGAUGACUACCAGCUUGUUCGAAAAUUAGGCAGGGGCAAAUACAAUGAAGUAUUUGAAGCCAUCAACAUCACAAAUAAUGAAAUACGUUAUUAAAAUCCUCAAGCCAGUAAAAAAAGAAGAGAAUUAAUCAUGAAAUAAAGACUUUGGAGAAUCUGAGAAGUGGUCCCAACAUCAUCACACUUGCAGACAUUGUAAAAGGCCUUGUGUCACAACCCCCCUGCCUUGGUUUUUGAACAUGUAAACAGCACAGACUUCAAGCAAUUGUACCAGAUGUUAACAGACCGUGACAUUCGAUUUUACAUGUAUGAAAUUCUAAAAGCCCUGGAUUCUUGUCACAGCAGAGGGAUUAUGCACAGAGAUGUGAAAUCCCAUAACGUCAUGAUUGAUCAUGAGCACAGAAAGCUUUGGCUAAUAGACUAGAGUUUAGCUGAGUUUUACUGUCCUGGCCAAGAGUAUAAUGUCCGAGUUGCUUCCCGAUAUUUAAAAGAUCCAGAGCUACUUGUAGAUUAUCAGAUGUACGAUUAUAGUUUGGAUAUGUGGGAGUUUGGGUUGUAUGCUGGCAAGUAUGAUCUUCCAGAAGGAGUCAUCUUCCCGAGGACAUGACAAUUAUGAUCAGUUGGUGAGGAUAGCCAAGGUUCUGGGGACAGAAGAUUUGUAUAACUACAUUAACAAGUACAAUAUUGAAUUAGAUCCAUGUUUCAACAAUAUCUUGGGCAGACACUCCCAGAAGUGAUGGGAAUUCUUUGUCCACAGUGAAAACCAGCAUCUUGUAAGCCCCGAGGCCUUGGAUUUUGUGUACAAGCUGCUGCAAUAAGACCACCAGUUACAGCUCGCUGGAAGAGAGGUCAUGGAACACCCGUACUUCUACUCUGUUGUGAAGGAUAAGGCAUGAAUGAGUUCCACUAGCAUGGCAGGAGGCAUCACACCUGUCAGCAGGGUGAAUAUGAUAUCAGGGAUUUCUUCAGUGCCAACCCUUUCACCACCUCUUAGACCUCUGGAAGGCUCACCGGUGAGUGCUGCUCUCAACUCACUUGGGAUACAUGUUCCAGCUGCUGCUGGAGCUCAGCAAUAA